GAGGAUAUAGCUCAGGGGCAGAGCACAUGCUUAGCAUGCACAAGGUCCUGGGUUCAAUUUCCAGUACCACCA
rnacentral:tRNA from 1 species